GGCAACAUGGCCGAGUGGUCCAAGGCGCUGCACUCAAGUUCUAAAGAGCUUCUCAGAUCAUCUGAGUGAAUUGCAGUCUCGAAAGGGGCGUGAGUUCGAGUCUCACUGUUGUCA